GCUUAAACCUGACAGCAGCGAGCACCGAACGCAGAGAGGUAAAGCGAAUGGCAGGACUAUCA
rnacentral:sRNA from 1 species